AAUAUUAAAGGGCUGCAGUAUAUUGACUGUACAAAGGUAGCAUAAUCAUUAGUUUUUUAAUUGAAAACUUGUAUGAAAGAUUUGAUGAAAUAUAAACUGUCUCUUAAUUAUUAUUGUUAAAAAUUUAUUUUUUAGUUAAAAAGCUAAAAUAAUUUUAAAAGACGAGAAGACCCUAUAGAGUUUUAUAUUUUAUUUUAUAUUAAAAUUAUAUAAAAAUUAAAAUUAAUAUUAAAUAAAAUAUUGUAUUGGGGUGAUAGAAAAAUUAAAAUAACUUUUUUUAAAAAUUAACCAUUAAUAAAUGAAUAAAUGAUCCAUUUUUAAUGAUUAAAAGAAAAAAUUACCUUAGGGAUAACAGCGUAAUAUUUUUUUUUAGUUCAAAUAAGAAAAAAACUUUGCGACCUCGAUGUUGGAUUAAAAUAAAAUUAAAAUGCAAAUGUUUAAAAUUUU
rnacentral:rRNA from 1 species